CCUACGGGGGGCAGCAGUGGGGAAUCUUGCGCAAUGCGCGAAAGCGUGACGCAGCAACGCCGCGUGGGGGAAGAAGGCCUUCGGGUUGUAAACCCCUUUCAGGAGGGACGAAGCCCGGGCGGUUAAUAGCCGACUCGGGUGACGGUACCUCCAGAAGAAGCUCCGGCUAACUACGUGCCAGCAGCCGCGGUAAUACGUAGGGGGCUAGCGUUGUCCGGAAUCAUUGGGCGUAAAGAGCGUGUAGGCGGCCCGAUUAGUCCGCUGUGAAAGUCCAGGGCUCAACCCUGGAAUGCCGGCGGAUACUGUCGGGCUAGAGUCCGGAAGAGGCGAGUGGAAUUCCCGGUGUAGCGGUGAAAUGCGCAGAUAUCGGGAGGAACACCUAUGGCGAAGGCAGCUCGCUGGGACGGAACUGACGCUGAGACGCGAAAGCGUGGGGAGCA
rnacentral:rRNA from 1 species